rnacentral:rRNA from 1 species
GCUUGUCUCAAAGAUUAAGCCAUGCAUGUCUCAGUAUAAGUUCCUGUACGGCGAAACUGCGAAUGGCUCAUUAAAACAGUUACAGUUUAUUUGAUGGUCCUUGCUACUUGGAUAACCGUAGUAAUUCUAGAGCUAAUACAUGCAUCAAGCCCCGACUGUUUGGAAGGGGUGUAUAUAUUAGAUUGAAACCAAUGCGGGGCAACCCGGAGUGUGGUGAUUCAUAAUAUCUUUCGGAUCGAUUUAUCGAUGCAUCAUUCAAGUUUCUGCCCUAUCAGCUUUGGAUGGUAGGGUAUUGGCCUACCAUGGCUUUAACGGGUAACGGAGAAUUAGGGUUCGAUUCCGGAGAGGGAGCCUGAGAAAUGGCUACCACAUCCAAGGAAGGCAGCAGG